CAAUUUAUGUGGUGUCACGUGUCAGUCACUCAGCCCGACAACCUAUAAAACAGAAACUCAACUUUAAUACAUAAAAAAAACCAACAAUAAUGUUUUGGUUGGUCAUUAUACCCAUGACCUUUGAGUAUCUUCCUCUUCUUUGUUUCUCUUUUCAUCAACGCUGUUCUUCAAUCUCUACUUCUACAAUCAAUUCUCUAUACUCAUGACAGAUAAUUUUCCUAUUUAGUCGAUAAUGUGUUCAUGUUUAUACUUAAUUUUUAGUUGAUUUUGUU
rnacentral:sRNA from 1 species